ACCUGGCAGAGACCGAAAUUUUUAUGGAAAUUCGAAAACCGGCUUUUCCAGUCUCGAUCCGCGGCAUUAAUUCAUGGAUUUCUGCCGCUGGCGCCUGCACCGCCCUACAUCGUCAUUGCCCUCUGUCUGAGGGACACUUGCAAGCUUGAGCUUCGAAGCAAAACAAAGAGGCAACAGCUUACAAAGACUUACAGCUGCCUCGACCAUAUGCAGCAACCAUAUGUGUUCGCAGAAUCAUGGCGUUACUUCCGGUUCGAAAGAUCACGUGGUACAAAAUCAGCAUCGUCCUCCUGUACUUCGGCUUUGCCUGCUUGACGGCGGGGAUGGUGUCUCCUUACUGGACGUACGGCUCCAAGACGACGGUAGACGACACCAUCGUCAUUCACCGAGGGCUCUGGCACGUCUGCCACGGUCACGCGGGGUCAGUGGCCUGCGCCUCUAGUCUCGGCGACCCUCCGGAAUGGCUGAAAGCGGUGGUGGCCCUGCAGUGCCUCGCUGUGGUCGGGUUGGCGUUUUCCGCUGGCUUUGUCGUCCUGCUGACGUGUCUCUGGAGCUUCUCGCGCAUACCGGAAGUGGUCGCUUGCAUCGCCAGCGUCGUGGGAUUCAUCGGGCUGCUCGUCUUUGUGGGGAAGACCCCGAAAGAGGAGGGAACCGUCAUCUUCCAUUUCUCCUGGAGCUUUGCCUUGGAUCUCAUCGGCUGCGUUGUCGCUUUUGUCGCCGCUGUUAUUAUGGCCUUGAGUAACAAAAACACGCCUCCUGCUGUGAAGAGUAGCAGCCAGGACACUCGAGAUAUACAGACAGUGGAAAGCAUAAACAGCGAGUAUGCCGCUCACAGAGUUGUCUAAUAUACUACUCAGAGCUAUCUAGGUGAAAUGAAUUCUUGUGUAGCCAAUGCAUGACUAAAGCGGUGAGGUAUGUACUUUAUAUCUACCCUCGAUUUAAACAUAUGAAUUAAUAGAAAGCGAUGUAUAUAGCUUUUAAAGUGUAAAAAAUAUCCUGGAAAUUACCCGCAUGUUAUCUUAAACAUUUAAGCAGCAAAACAAGCAAACCAGCCCAAUCGAAUAAAUUUAUGGCAAAAAUGCAUUGUAAAUUUUCAUUGUUUUAAUAAUAAUCAUCAUAAUCAUUAUAAUCAUCACCAUGAUCAUCCAGCAAUUUAUCCAGCACCAACCAGACUCAAAGAGCUUUACAUACAAAAAUUUAAAGAUAUUUUCGCGUAAUAUUUUUCAUUGCUGCUUGAUAUUUUCAUAAAGAUGUUUAUGUUUGCCUGGUAAUCAAGAGUCGAGAGUAUGAGUCGUAGGUUGGACCUUUCCACUCCUGCUUCUUUCUGUGAUGAACCUGUUCGCAUAAUGGUCUAUUUUGCAGAGGUUACCACACACCAACCGAAUCAUUCACAGCCACACAACAAAGAACUGCACUGCAAGAAAUAUAAUUAAAUAAUAAAUAAUAAUAAAUUCAAUAUCAGUGUCUAUAAGCACUGUCAUAUACUUUACACCGAUAUGUAACAUUCCAAAAUCACGAGUGUGACAAUGGAAAACACACACACACACACAAAUAUUAAAUGUGCGUGAAUGUAAUCCGCCAUGUCCUUCAACUUGUCAUGUUCAUCAACAAACCGACAUGGAAUUGAUGAUUACCUUUUUUUUAGGGUGGGGGAUAUUGGUGCAUUAUCAGUUCCACUAUCUGUACUAGAAGAAUUAAGAUUUUUGUCACAGCUCAAGAAAUGAUUAAUCCAGAAGAAAAAAGACAGGUAUUUACACCAUAAUUUUGUUGUCAAAGUUCAAAAAUUAUCAUGAAAUACUUUUCUUGCUUCUUCGUCUUUAAAAGACAAGUAUGUCUUUUGUUACGGAUAUAUUUUAACAGCUCGGCUGUCGUAGAAAUGGACAGGCAGCUUGUCCACAGAAUCAAGAUAUACAUGCAAUUCUGAAAAAUGCUAGAUUUUGUUGCACUUUGGAGGGGCAGUAGAAAGCUGCAACGAAAAUCGGCUUUGCGAUGUAAAUGGCAUUGUGUCACAGGCUGAUGUCCAUUUGCAUCGUUUGAAAAGUAAGAACAUUAUGCCCAAAACCAGAUGGAGUACCGUAUGUCGGUCACCAGAGGCAAUGAACUGAAAAUAUUCAAUAUUAUUAUCCUCGCUUUAAAAUUAGAGAACGAAGGGUAAAGGGAAAAGAGACCAAAUAAAAUAAAGCUUAAAAAUUCA